rnacentral:lncRNA from 1 species
GUGAUGAAGUGGGCAGCAAAGGCUUGGCUCAGCUGUCGGAAAGAGUGAAUAGAAGCUGGCUUCAGACUGGAGUACCAAUGUCAGGCCAUCCCUUUUAAAGUGAAGGGGAAGGCUCGGCAUAUGAUAGCAUCGGAGGCUUCUUGAAGGAGCAUGCCUACUCGAAAGCUGUUGACAUGACCAACAGAGUUUGUGGUCCCGUCGUAACUCUCCAGCUAAGAAACCUUAAAAUUUGGUGGGAUAGAU